AUACGGAGGGUGCAAGCGUUAAUCGGAAUUACUGGGCGUAAAGGGUUCGUAGGCGGUUAUUUAAGUCAGAUGUGAAAGCCCCAGGCUCAACCUGGGAAUUGCAUCUGAUACUGGGUAACUAGAGUUUAAGAGAGGAGUGUGGAAUUUCCGGUGUAGCGGUGAAAUGCAUAGAGAUCGGAAGGAACAUCAGUGGCGAAGGCGGCACUCUGGCUUAAAACUGACGCUGAGGAACGAAAGCGUGGGUAGCAAACAGGAUUAGAAACCCUUGUAGUCC
rnacentral:rRNA from 1 species